rnacentral:lncRNA from 10 species
GUCUGCUUGAUGGUCACCAGGAGAUUUUUGCUCUCCUCAAUUAACAUUUAAGAAUAUGGAGGAGCCAGGCACAGUGGCUCACACCUGUAAUCCCAGCACUUUGGAAGGGAGAGGCAGGCAGACGGCUUAAGCUCAAGAGUUUGAGAUCAGCAUGGGCAACAUGAUGAAACCCCAUCUCUACAAAAAACACAAAAAUCAGCUAGGUAUGAUGGCAUGCACCUGUAGUCCCAGCUACUGAGGAGGCUGAGGUGGGAAAAUUGUUCAAGCCUGGUAAGUUAAGGCUGCAGUAAGCUGUGAUAGCGCCACUGCACUCCAGCCUGGGCGACAAAGUGAGAUCCUGCCUCAAAAAAAAUAGAAUAUAGAGAGCCUGGCAUAGUGGCUCAUGCCUGUAAUCCCAGCACUUUGGGAGGCCAAGGUGGGAGGAUCUCUUGAGCAGUUCAAGAUCAGCCCGGGCAACUUAGUGAGACCCUGUGUCUAAAAAAAAAAAAAAAAGUGAAAUUAGCCAGGUGUAGUGGUGCUAGCUAGUGAUCCUAGCUACUCCGGGGGCUGAGGUGGAUGGCCUGAGCCCAGGAGGUCGAAGCUGCAGUGAGUCUAUAUCGCACCACUGCACUCCAGCCUGGGCAACACACCAAGACCCUGCCUCUCACAAAACAGAAAGAAUAUGGGAGAGGAGGGAUUUGGGAGUCAACCUCAUGUCCAAAUCCAAUCCCACCACCAAUUCACCGGUGAGAGGUGAAGUCAGCUGGACUUCCUGAGUCAAGUGGGGACUUGGAGAACUUUUCUGUAACUAGCUACAGGUUUGUAAAAUGGACCAAUCAGCAGGACAUGGGCAGGGACAAAUAAGUGAAUAAAAACUGCCCCCACCCCCACACCCCCCUACACCACCAGCCUGCAGCAGGCAACCCACUUGGGUCUCCUUCCAUGCUGUGGAAGCUUUGUUCUUUUGCUCUUUAGGUUCGUGCCAACUUUAAGCUGUAACACUCAGGGCGAAGGUCCGCAGCUUCAUUCUUGAAGUCAGCGUAGACCACGAACCCACCGGAAGGAACCAUAUUCCGGACACACCAGGACCCUGGUCAGUCUCCUUGCCAGUGACAACAUCAGGGCAGCAGUGGAAAAAGACACGCUUUCAGUUGCUGGAUAAAGUGUCUUCACCGUCUUGGCAAGAAUCCCUUCACUGCCUGAGGGACCUGUCCUAGGUGCCAGAGUGAGCAGGGAGGAACACAGGUGUGUCUCGGUGGCUGGAGAACCCAGCCAGGACGACGCCCAGUUUGGAACUGUACCGAAGCUGAGCCCUGCCUUGCACGGCUGAAGCUUAGCCACAGAGGCGGAACUUCCCUGGCUUUUCCUGGAAGCGGAAGCCGUGAAAUGGCCAAAGCACAAGACAGGGUGGUGCAGUUUUGCUCCCGCGCGAUCACCGUUGGCCACGCGCCUCGGUCUCUAUCUGUAAAAGAGAUCCGCAUCUCUGGUAUUUGAUGCUGGAGAGAAAAAUGUGCGGCCUCCGCCCAACCUUGAGUUUCCUGCUCCACCGCGCCCUCUCGUGGUUAACUGGACUCACGGCUUUCUCGCCCCCAACCCCAACCACCUAAAUUGCGGUUCUCAACCUUGGCUGAGCGUGGGAAUCACCCGGGGACCUGCGAAACACCGAUGCCUGGGUACCGGACUCUAUCCGCGCCUCCCCCUGCGAGAGAUUCUGACUUAAUUGGCCUGAUGCAAUCCGGGCGUCCCCUGGGGAUCACAGUGUGCAGUCAAGGCUGGGAAACACUGACCCACCUCUGCUCUGCCAGGGAUCCUGCGUUUGGCUGACGACAUUUCUCUUGUCAGAGCCCACCGGACUCUGCUUUCCGGAUAUAAAGGAUCCUUUUGCAAGUCUAAACACCUCAAUGUCGGCAUCACACCCUCAAGCAUCCACCCUCUACUCCUGAAAUACUCAUGAUUAAUAUGUGCUUUUAAUUUCUAUUGCUGGAGAAAAUGUUUCUGAAAAAUUGCACUUACAUAAAUAGAUAAGGCAUAUUAUUUGUAUUAUCUGCUGACAACAUCCGUGAUGUGUGCAUGUGUGUGCUGCGUAUGCACAGAGCUUCCUCACUAUAAUUUCAGGAGCUUCUCAGGGCCUUAGGUCAGAGAUCCGCUAGCCGUGCCAGGGCACUCUGGCCCUAAUGUUAAAAAUAGACCAUGGCUUUAGCCACUCCUGUCAGUAUCUUGUCUCACUGCCCAGUGCUCCAUUCAUCAGGAGAAAUUCCUGAGCUGCUGCCCAGCCAGUCAGCCAGGCCCAACUGAAAUUCCCAGGGGGCCUGUGAGGGGGGUCACACGUACUCUUAGCUUCUAGGCUGGACCUCAGGACUCCUAGCAGAAGGAUAUCCACUGUGGCCCUGCGACCUUGUCAAUCGUUUGAUUCACAGCCUCUCAGUGACACUGGCACUCAAUGAGAUGGGCUCCUUUCAUGACACGGUCACCACCAUCAUCACAAUCUCCAGCAUUUUUGGGUUCCUACUAUGUGUACAGCAGUUUUCAGGAACAUUUAUUAUUUAUUUAUUGAGACAAGAGUUUCCCUCUGUCACCCAGGCUGGAGUGCAGUGACAUGAUCUCAGCUCACUGCAACCUCAGCCUCCUGGGCUCAAACGAUUCUUGUACCUCAGCCUCCCAAGUAGUUGGGAUUACAGGCACUCACCACCACACUAGCUAAUUUUUGUAUUUUUAGUAGAGAUGGGGUUUCGCCAUGUUGGCCAGACUGGUCUUGAACUCCUGACCUGAAGUGAUUUGCCCACCUCGGUCUCUCAAAGUGCUGGGAUUACAGGUGUAAGCCUCCAUGCCUGGCCUAUUUUAAAGGAACUUAUAAACAUUAGAAAAUAGUGUCUUUGUCAUCCAAAAAUGUAUAGUCCAGUGGGAGAGAGGGUAAUAACAUGGGGACAUGUGAGAAAAUAAAGUUCUG